rnacentral:rRNA from 1 species
GAGAGUUUGAUUCUGGCUCAGGACGAACGCUGGCGGCGCGCCUAACACAUGCAAGUCGAGCGAUGAUAGCUCUUCAGAUUCCUUCGGGAUGACGAAAAGAAGGAUUAGCGGCGGACGGGUGAGUAACACGUGAGUAACCUGCCUUUGACACAGGGAUAGCCUUGGGAAACUGGGAUUAAUACCUGAUGACAUCAUUAGAUCGCAUGGUUUAAUGAUUAAAAUGAUUUAGUGGUCAAAGAUGGACUCGCGUCUGAUUAGCUAGUUGGUGAGAUAAAAGCUCACCAAGGCAACGAUCAGUAACCGGCCUGAGAGGGUGAACGGUCACAUUGGAACUGAGACACGGUCCAAACUCCUACGGGAGGCAGCAGUGGGGAAUAUUGCACAAUGGAGGAAACUCUGAUGCAGCGACGCCGCGUGAGCGAUGAAGGUUUUCGAAUCGUAAAGCUCUGUCCCAUGGGAAGAUAAUGACGGUACCAUGGGAGGAAGCCCCGGCUAACUACGUGCCAGCAGCCGCGGUAAUACGUAGGGGGCUAGCGUUGUCCGGAAUUACUGGGCGUAAAGGGUUCGCAGGCGGAAAUAUAAGUCAGGUGUAAAAGGCGGAGGCUCAACCUCCGUAAGCAUUUGAAACUAUAUUUCUUGAGAUAUGGAGAGGCAAGUGGAAUUCCUAGUGUAGCGGUGAAAUGCGUAGAUAUUAGGAGGAAUACCAGUGGCGAAGGCGACUUGCUGGACAUAUACUGACGCUGAGGAACGAAAGCAUGGGUAGCAAACAGGAUUAGAUACCCUGGUAGUCCAUGCUGUAAACGAUGAGUGCUAGGUAUCGGGGAUGACUUCGGUGCCGUAGUUAACACAAUAAGCACUCCGCCUGGGGAGUACGUGCGCAAGCAUGAAACUCAAAGGAAUUGACGGGGACCCGCACAAGCAGCGGAGCAUGUGGUUUAAUUCGAAGCAACGCGAAGGACCUUACCAGGACUUGACAUAAUAUUGACCGGUAUAGAGAUAUACCUUUCUCUUCGGAGACAGUAUUACAGGUGGUGCAUGGUUGUCGUCAGCUCGUGUCGUGAGAUGUUGGGUUAAGUCCCGCAACGAGCGCAACCCUUAUCUUUAGUUGCCAGCACGUAAUGGUGGGAACUCUAAAGAGACUGCCGAUGAUAAAUCGGAGGAAGGUGGGGAUGACGUCAAAUCAUCAUGCCCUUUAUGUCCUGGGCUACACACGUGCUACAAUGGUUGGAAACAAAGAGAAGCUAAACAGCAAUGUCAUGCAAAUCUCAUAAAGCCAAUCUCAGUUCGGAUUGUAGGCUGCAACUCGCCUACAUGAAGUCGGAGUUGCUAGUAAUCGCAGAUCAGAAUGCUGCGGUGAAUGCGUUCCCGGGUCUUGUACACACCGCCCGUCACACCAUGGAAGUUGGCAAUACCCGAAGCCGUCGAGCUAACCGUAAGGAAGCAGGCGUCGAAGGUAGGGUUAAUGACUGGGGUGAAGUCGUAACAAGGUAGCCGUAUCGGAAGGUGCGGCUGGAUCACCUCCUU